rnacentral:tRNA from 1 species
GGCAUCGUAUAAUGGCUAUUACCUCAGCCUUCCAAGCUGAUGAUGCGGGUUCGAUUCCCGCUGCCCGCUCCA